rnacentral:rRNA from 1 species
GUUAGGAAUAUUGGACAAUGGGCGCAAGCCUGAUCCAGCCAUGCCGCGUGCAGGAUGAAGGCCUUCGGGUUGUAAACUGCUUUUGUACGGAACGAAAAGACUUCUUCUAAUACAGGAGGUCCAUGACGGUACCGUAAGAAUAAGCACCGGCUAACUACGUGCCAGCAGCCGCGGUAAUACGUAGGGUGCAAGCGUUAAUCGGAAUUACUGGGCGUAAAGCGUGCGCAGGCGGUUAUAUAAGACAGAUUUGAAAUCCCCGGGCUCAACCUGGGAACUGCAUUUGUGACUGUAUAGCUAGAGUACGGUAGAGGGGGAUGGAAUUCCGCGUGUAGCAGUGAAAUGCGUAGAUAUGCGGAGGAACACCGAUGGCGAAGGCAAUCCCCUGGACCUGUACUGACGCUCAUGCACGAAAGCGUGGGGAGCAAACAGGAUUAGAAACCCUUGUAGUCC